UACAGAGGGGGCAAGCGUUGUUCGGAAUUACUGGGCGUAAAGGGCGCGUAGGCGGCCUGUUAAGUCAGACGUGAAAUCCCUCGGCUCAACCGGGGAACUGCGUCUGAUACUGGCGGGCUUGAAUUCGGGAGAGGGAUGUGGAAUUCCAGGUGUAGCGGUGAAAUGCGUAGAUAUCUGGAGGAAUACCGGUGGCGAAGGCGGCAUCCUGGACCGACAUUGACGCUGAACGGCGAAAGCUAGGGGAGCAAACGGG
rnacentral:rRNA from 1 species